GGAACGACGAGGCCUCGUGCAAGUAGCGCCGCAAGGUGCCGUGCACAUGGGGCUAGCUCAGUAUGUUCCGAAUGCCAUCGGUUGUUGGGGGCAAAAUCGGGAGGCGACAUCGCUCGUGGCAGCUGAUGGCUUUUGGCAACUGAACGGCGAGGCCUCGUGCAAGUAGCGCCGCAAGGUGCCGUGCGCAUGGGGCUAAGCCCAGUAUGUUCCGAUUGCCAUCGAUUGUUGCGGGCAACAUCGGGAGGCGACAUCGCUCGUGGCGGCUGAUGGCUUUUGGCAACUGAAUGGCGAGGCCUCGUGCAAGUAGCGCCGCAAGGUGCCGUGCGCAUGGGGCUAAACUCAGUACGUUCCGAUUGCCAUCGGUUGUUGGGGGCAAAAUCGGGAGGCGACAUCGCUCGUGGCAGCUGAUGGCUUUUGGCAACGGAACGGCGAGGCCUCGUGCAAGUAGCGUCGCAAGGUGCCGUGCGCAUGGGGCUAAACUCAGUACGUUCCGAUUGCCAUCGGUUGUUGUGAGUUGUGUCUGGCAUCGCUCGUGGCGGCUGAUGGCUUUUGGCAUCGGAACGACGAGGCCUCGUGCAAGUAGCGCCGCAAGGUGCCGUGCACAUGGGGCUAAGCUUAGUAUGUUCCGAUUACCAUUGAUUGUUGGGGGCAAAAUCGGGAGGAGACAUCGCUCGUGGCGGCUGAUGGCUUUUGGCAACUGAAUGGCGAGGCCUCGUGCAAGUAGCGCCGCAAGGUGCCGUGCGCGUGGGGCUAAGCUUAGUAUGUUCCGAAUGCCAUCGGUUGUUGGGGGCAACAUCGGGAGGCGACAUCGCUCGUGGCGGCUGAUGGCUUUUGGCAACGGAACGGCGAGGCCUUGUGCAAAUAGCGCCGCAAGGUGUCGUGCGCAUGGGGCUAAACUCAGUAUGUUCCGAUUGCCAUCG
rnacentral:lncRNA from 1 species